rnacentral:rRNA from 1 species
AACGAAGGUGGCAAGCGUUAUCCGGAAUUACUGGGCUUAAAGGGUGUGCAGGCGGGGAAGCAAGUGGGGUGUUAAAUCUCCCAGCUUAACUGGGAUAGGUUAUGCCAGACUGCUUUUCUAGAGGACGAGAGAGGGGGGUGGAAUUCCGGGUGUAGUGGUGAAAUGCGUAGAGAUCCGGAGGAACCCCAGAGGCGAAGGCGGCCCCCUGGCUCGUACCUGACGCUCAGCCACGAAAGCAUGGGGAGCGAACGGG